CCUUGUUUUCAACCAAGAGCAGUGAUAAUGUCCUCUGACGACCUCACCUACCUCAGUGGGUGUACACUUGUAUCUCUAAGGACAUUUGUCAGAAAGAGGCUUCUUGUUUUUCUUUUCUGAGGAAAGGCAGGGACCAAUAAACAUAGAGAACUGUUUAUAAGUAUGAUCCAAAUUUCGGAAUAGUUUCUGUCACUUGGCUGUCCUGUGAAAUGUGCACUAUUAAAAAGAGGAGUUACUGAAAAUUAUAGAAAGAAAAUCAUCCUAGAAGUUCUAAUUAAGGUAUCUUUAAGUU